rnacentral:rRNA from 13 species
AAAUUGAAGAGUUUGAUCAUGGCUCAGAUUGAACGCUGGCGGCAGGCCUAACACAUGCAAGUCGAACGGUAACAGGAAGCAGCUUGCUGCUUCGCUGACGAGUGGCGGACGGGUGAGUAAUGUCUGGGAAACUGCCUGAU